GAACGGGGGCUGCAGGUAUCGGACUCCAGAGGGAUUUUACAGCAAGGAGGCUGCAGUGGGUCCAGCCUGCAGACACACCAUUCCCAUGAGGCACUGCGGCCCAGGGACUGGUGCGGAAAGGGCCCACAGUGGACUUGGUGCACUGUAUGCCCUAACCGCUCAGUCCCUGGGUCUGGCAUGACAGACAGAAAGGCGAGGCAGGUGGGGCAGAAUGAAUGAGCUUUCUAGGGAGGGAGGUUGGGUGCAGGUAGAGCGAGGUAAAGCAGCUGGGGUGGUGAGCCAGCGAGGCACUGGCCUCCAGAGUCCGUGGCCAAGGAGGGCCUUGCGGGC
rnacentral:lncRNA from 1 species